UGAGGAAUAUUGGUCAAUGGGCGCAGGCCUGAACCAGCCAAGUCGCGUGAGGGAAGACGGUCCUACGGAUUGUAAACCUCUUUUGUCGGGGAGUAACGUGCGGGACGCGUCCCGUAUUGAGAGUACCCGAAGAAAAAGCAUCGGCUAACUCCGUGCCAGCAGCCGCGGUAAUACGGGGGAUGCGAGCGUUAUCCGGAUUUAUUGGGUUUAAAGGGUGCGUAGGCGGUCCGGUAAGUCAGCCGUGAAAAGCCCCCGCUCAACGGGGGUCGUGCGUUUGAUACUGUUGGACUGGAAUGCGGAUGCCGUGGGAGGAAUGUGUGGUGUAGCGGUGAAAUGCAUAGAUAUCACACAGAACACCGAUUGCGAAGGCAUCUCACGAAUCCGCAAUUGACGCUGAGGCACGAAAGCGCGGGUAUCGAACAGGAUUAGAUACCCUGGUAGU
rnacentral:rRNA from 1 species